UGCUGAACAGAAGCAGCAUUAAUCUGCUGUUGUUCUGCAGAGCGUCCGGCUCCAGUCACACGACUCUUAGCUGCACCGACAUGAAGACACAGAAACAGAUCCACACGACUCCUGUCGGGUCACAACUGCAGAACCUUAAUGAAAAAGACACCAUGAUGCAAAUCAACAAAUUUAAGUACCAUAUUCUAGGCUCAAUCUCAG